rnacentral:rRNA from 1 species
UACGAAGGGGGCUAGCGUUGUUCGGAAUCACUGGGCGUAAAGCGCACGUAGGCGGAUUUUUAAGUCAGGGGUGAAAUCCCGGGGCUCAACCUCGGAACUGCCUUUGAUACUGGAGAUCUUGAGUCCGGAAGAGGUAAGUGGAACUGCGAGUGUAGAGGUGAAAUUCGUAGAUAUUCGCAAGAACACCAGUGGCGAAGGCGGCUUACUGGUCCGGAACUGACGCUGAGGUGCGAAAGCG